CCUACGGGAGACAGCAGUGAGGAAUAUUGGUCAAUGGACGAGAGUCUGAACCAGCCAAGUAGCGUGAAGGAUGACUGCCCUAUGGGUUGUAAACUUCGUUUAUAAAGGAAUAAAACGAGGCACGUGUGCCGUUUUGCAUGUACGUUAUGAAUAAGGAUCGACUAACUCCGUGCCAGCAGCCUAGGUAAGACGGAGGAUCCGAUCGUUAUCCGGAUUUAUGGGGGUUAAAGGGAGCGUAGAUGGGUUGUUAAGUCAGUUGUGAAAGUUUUCGGCUCACCCGUAAAAGUGCAAUUGAUACUGGCAGUCUUGCGUCCAGUUGAGGUAGGCGGACUUCGUUGUGUAGCG
rnacentral:rRNA from 1 species